AUUGAACGCUGGCGGCAUGCCUUACACAUGCAAGUCGAACGGUAACAGGUCUUCGGAUGCUGACGAGUGGCGAACGGGUGAGUAAUACAUCGGAACGUGCCUAGUAGUGGGGGAUAACUACUCGAAAGAGUGGCUAAUACCGCAUGAGAUCUACUGAUGAAAGCAGGGGAUCGCAAGACCUUGUGCUACUAGAGCGGCCGAUGGCAGAUUAGGUAGUUGGUGGGAUAAAAGCUUACCAAGCCGACGAUCUGUAGCUGGUCUGAGAGGACGAUCAGCCACACUGGGACUGAGGCACGGCCCAGACUCCUACGGGAGGCAGUAGUGGGGAAUUUUGGACAAUUGGCGAAAGCCUGAUCCAGCAAUGCCGCGUGCAGGAUGAAGGCCUUCGGGUUGUAAACUGCUUUUGUACGGAACGAAAAGCCCCGGGUUAAUACCCUGGGGUCAUGGCGGUACCGUAAGAAUAAGCACCGGCUAACUACGUGCCAGCCGCCGCCGUAA
rnacentral:rRNA from 1 species